CCUACGGGGGGCAGCAGUGGGGAAUAUUGCACAAUGGGCGCAAGCCUGAUGCAGCCAUGCCGCGUGUGUGAAGAAGGCCUUCGGGUUGUAAAGCACUUUCAGCGGGGAGGAAGGCGGUGAGGUUAAUAACCUCAUCGAUUGACGUUACCCGCAGAAGAAGCACCGGCUAACUCCGUGCCAGCAGCCGCGGUAAUACGGAGGGUGCAAGCGUUAAUCGGAAUUACUGGGCGUAAAGCGCACGCAGGCGGUCUGUCAAGUCGGAUGUGAAAUCCCCGGGCUCAACCUGGGAACUGCAUUCGAAACUGGGAGGCUAGAGUCUUGUAGAGGGGGGUAGAAUUCCAGGUGUAGCGGUGAAAUGCGUAGAGAUCUGGAGGAAUGCCGGUGGCGAAGGCGGCCCCCUGGACAAAGACUGACGCUCAGGUGCGAAAGCGUGGGGAGCAAACAGGAUUAGAUACCCUAGUAGUC
rnacentral:rRNA from 1 species